rnacentral:rRNA from 1 species
AGGGUUUGAUCAUGGCUCAGGAUGAACGCUAGCGGCAGGCCUAAUACAUGCAAGUCGGACGGGAUCCAUCGGCGAGCUUGCUCGAAGAUGGUGAGAGUGGCGCACGGGUGCGUAACGCGUGAGCAACCUACCUCUAUCAGGGGGAUAGCCUCUCGAAAGAGAGAUUAACACCGCAUAACAUCAACAGUUCGCAUGUUCGGUUGAUUAAAUAUUUAUAGGAUAGAGAUGGGCUCGCGUGACAUUAGCUAGUUGGUAGGGUAACGGCUUACCAAGGCGACGAUGUCUAGGGGCUCUGANAGGAGAAUCCCCCACACUGGUACUGAGACACGGACCANACUCCUACGGGAGGCAGCAGUAAGGAAUAUUGGUCAAUGGGCGGAAGCCUGAACCAGCCAUGCCGCGUGCAGGAUGACUGCCCUAUGGGUUGUAAACUGCUUUUGUCCAGGAAUA